rnacentral:rRNA from 1 species
AGAGUUUGAUCCUGGCUCASGACGAACGCUGGCGGCGUGCCUAACACAUGCAAGUCGAACGGAGAUGUUUAUUUCGGUAGACAUCUUAGUGGCGCACGGGUGAGUAACGCGUGAAUAACCUGACCCGAAGAGGGGGAUAACACCUGGAAACAAGUGCUAAUACCGCAUAAGACCACGGACCGGCAUCGGUCAGAGGUCAAAGGAGAAAUCCGCUUUGGGAGGGGUUCGCGUCCCAUUAGGUAGUUGGUGAGGUAACGGCCCACCAAGCCGACGAUGGGUAGCCGAGCUGAGAGGCUGAUCGGCCACACUGGAACUGAGACACGGUCCAGACUCCUACGGGAGGCAGCAGUGGGGAAUAUUGGGCAAUGGGCGCAAGCCUGACCCAGCAACGCCGCGUGAGGGAAGAAGGUUUUCGGAUUGUAAACCUCUGUCGCAGGGGACGAAGGAAGUGACGGUACCCUGUAAGAAAGCCCCGGCUAACUACGUGCCAGCAGCCGCGGUAAUACGUAGGGGGCGAGCGUUGUCCGGAAUUACUGGGCGUAAAGGGAGCGUAGGCGGUCGAUUAAGUUAGAUGUGAAACCCCCGGGCUUAACUUGGGGACUGCAUCUAAUACUGGUUGACUUAGAGUACAGGAGAGGGAAGCGGAAUUCCUAGUGUAGCGGUGAAAUGCGUAGAUAUUAGGAGGAACACCAGUGGCGAAGGCGGCUUUCUGGACUGACACUGACGCUGAGGCUCGAAAGCGUGGGGAGCAAACAGGAUUAGAUACCCUGGUAGUCCACGCUGUAAACGAUGAAUACUAGGUG